GGCCAGGUAGCUCAGUCGGUACGAGCGUCCGCCUGAAAAGCGGAAGGUCGCCGGUUCGACCCCGGCCCUGGCCAC
rnacentral:tRNA from 1 species